rnacentral:rRNA from 1 species
CGUAGGGGCCGAGCGUUGUCCGGAGUUACUGGGCGUAAAGCGCGCGCAGGCGGUCAUUUAAGCCUACCGUGAAAGCCCCCGGCUCAACCGGGGAGGGUCGGUGGGGACUGGGUGACUUGAGGACGGCAGGGGCUGGUGGAAUCCCCGGUGUAGUGGUGAAAUGCGUAGAGAUCGGGGGGAACACCCGUGGCGAAGGCGGCCAGCUGGGCCGGCCCUGACGCUGAGGCGCGAAGGCGUGGGGAGCGAACGGGAUUAGAUACCCCGGUAGUCCACGCAGUAAACGAUGCCGACUGGGCGUGGGGGGACUUGACCCCCUCCGUGCCGGAGCCAACGCGGGAAGUCGGCCGCCGGGGGAGUACGGCCGCAAGGCUA